rnacentral:misc_RNA from 1 species
AACGCACAUUGCGCCCCUCGGAAUUCCGGGGGGCAUACCUGUUCGAGCGUCAUUACACCUCUCAAGCGUAGCUUGGUAUUGAGCCUCGCUCCCCCACGGGGGCGUGCUUGAAAAGUAGUGGCGGUCCGGUGUGGCCUUGAACGUAGUAAAUUUUCUCCCGUUCUGAAGGUUCCAUGCUGUGGCCGGCCAGAAACAUCAUUUUCAAGAAUUGACCUCGGAUCAGGUAGGGAUACCCGCUGAACUUAA